UACGUAGGGUGCGAGCGUUAAUCGGAAUUACUGGGCGUAAAGCGUGCGCAGGCGGUUCUACAAGACAGAUGUGAAAUCCCCGGGCUCAACCUGGGAACUGCAUUUGUGACUGUAGGGCUAGAGUACGGCAGAGGGGGGAUGGAAUUCCGCGUGUAGCAGUGAAAUGCGUAGAUAUGCGGAGGAACACCGAUGGCGAAAGCACUCUGCUGGGCCGACACUGACACUGAGAGACGAAAAGCUAGGGGGAGCGAAUGGG
rnacentral:rRNA from 1 species